UACGUAGGGUGCGAGCGUUGUCCGGAAUUAUUGGGCGUAAAGAGCUCGUAGGCGGCCUGUCGCGUCGGAUGUGAAAACUCGGGGCUUAACCCCGAGCCUGCAUUCGAUACGGGCAGGCUAGAGUUCGGCAGGGGAGACUGGAAUUCCUGGUGUAGCGGUGAAAUGCGCAGAUAUCAGGAGGAACACCGGUGGCGAAGGCGGGUCUCUGGGCCGAUACUGACGCUGAGGAGCGAAAGCGUGGGGAGCAAACAGG
rnacentral:rRNA from 1 species